AACGAACGCUGGCGGCAGGCCUAACACAUGCAAGUCGAGCGGACCCUUCGGGGUUAGCGGCGGACGGGUGAGUAACGCGUGGGAAUAUGCCCUUCUCUACGGAAUAGUCCUGGGAAACUGGGGGUAAUACCGUAUACGCCCUUUGGGGGAAAGAUUUAUCGGGGAAGGAUUAGCCCGCGUUGGAUUAGGUAGUUGGUGGGGUAAUGGCCUACCAAGCCGACGAUCCAUAGCUGGUUUGAGAGGAUGAUCAGCCACACUGGGACUGAGACACGGCCCAGACUCCUACGGGAGGCAGCAGUGGGGAAUCUUAGACAAUGGGGGCAACCCUGAUCUAGCCAUGCCGCGUGAGUGAUGAAGGCCUUAGGGUUGUAAAGCUCUUUCAGCGGGGAAGAUAAUGACGGUACCAGCAGAAGAAGCCCCGGCUAACUCCGU
rnacentral:rRNA from 1 species